rfam:Strongylocentrotus purpuratus Contig98958_fixed, whole genome shotgun sequence.
CCAACAGUCCUUUUCAGGACUACUCAAACAUAAGAAAGAAAGAUU